rnacentral:rRNA from 1 species
UACGUAGGUGGCGAGCGUUGUCCGGAAUUACUGGGUGUAAAGGGCGUGUAGGCGGGAUGUAAGUCAGAUGUGAAACUACCGAAGCUUAACUUCGGAACUGCAUCUGAAACUGUGUCUCUUGAGUGCUGGAGAGGAAAGCGGAAUUCCUAGUGUAGCGGUGAAAUGCGUAGAUAUUAGGAGGAACACCAGUGGCGAAGGCGGCCACCUGGUCCACUACUGACGCUCAUGCUCGAAAGCGUGGGGAUCAAACAGGAUUAGAAACCCG